UGGAGUAAUAAUUACUGACAUGACUUCGUGGGUACAAUCUUACAGGUUUAUGAUAUUAAGAAUUAGCAGCGUGUUUUUUUGUUUGCUGCUGGAUUUCCUAACAAUCUGUCUCUUCUGUUGUUAAUUGAUAUGAAGACUUGCUGUUUUUCAUUCAGUUGAAGAGCUCUCCAGGCUUAACAUCUUUCUUGGAUAAUUGUGUUGUUAAAUAUGAAGGUGUCUGAGGACGUUCAGUUCUUGUAUGCGGCGUAAAACUUGAACUACCUACAGAUGAUUUCGCCAGUUCAACGGAAACUUAGAAUAACCAAGGGAACUUUCUCAGUUUUUUUUGCUCUUCUCAGAUUUUAGGCUGGGGGUAUUAACAUAUAUGCCAACCGUAAAUUUAGAUAUUAAUGUAAGAUUAAAUAGGGAUAAAUCCUUCUGCCAUGUUGACUAAUUAGAAUUACAAAGAAGAAAAGAAAUUAUUAAAGAAGAGAUAUAGUCGAAUAGGUUGUUGUGGUGUUUCUUUGAUCUUCACUAGACCUCUCAUUUUUGAUUGGCAUGGCGAUGAUCUGUUUCUUCUGGUGUUUCUCUGCUUCAAGAUUCGCUCAUGUGCCAAAGCCAGCUCGGGGAAGCCUUCCUGGACUCCUGAUCAACCAGGACAAUCACGACACGAGCUUAAGCGAGCGGAACAUCGAAGGAGGAUCUUGGGGAUGACGGAGGCGUCGACGACAACCUCAAAGGCGAGAGGUAUUGCUUUCAUGUCUCUGCGUUUCUUACUUUAUGCAACUCUGUCGGUAUUAAGGUCGUAUAUUCGGUGGGAGCAACGAAAAUUGAAUUUGUUAAUGUUUAGAAUUUGGACGAUCUGUUUGAUACGAUACGUCUGCACUGGUGAUGUUGAACAUUGUUCAAGACACUGUGGGUUCAGGUGUGAGGAAUACAAUUUGGCUUGCAGGGUUCAGGCUACUCUCUUGUGCUUGUUUUGCCUUGUGAUUACUUGAAACUGCAGCCUGCAGAUUGAAUGGGCACUUGAUUUGUUAGGGCGGAAGGCUUAAGCAAAGAAAGCUGCUGCUCUUUGUGCUGUAGUACAUUUCAUUUGAGAGCCAGAUGAGGUCCGUUAAAUUAGGAUUAAAGUCUGCACAAUAAUUAAAAACACUGAAUAAGCAAGGCCA